GGAAGGUCACACCCGUUCCCAUCCCGAACACGGUAGUUAAGCUUCUCUGCGCCAAUGGUAGUUGGGGGCUUCCCCCUGCGAGAGUAGGUCGCUGCCGGGC
rnacentral:rRNA from 1 species